UGCGCAGGCGGUUGAGUAAGACAGAUGUGAAAUCCCCGAGCUUAACUCGGGAAUGGCAUAUGUGACUGCUCGACUAGAGUGUGUCAGAGGGAGGUGGAAUUCCACGUGUAGCAGUGAAAUGCGUAGAUAUGUGGAAGAACACCGAUGGCGAAGGCAGCCUCCUGGGACAUAACUGACGCUCAGGCAUGAAAGCGUGGGGAGCAAACA
rnacentral:rRNA from 1 species